GACGAACGCUGGCGGCGUGCUUAACACAUGCAAGUCGAACGAAGUGGCGAACGGGUGAGUAACGCGUAAUCAACCUGCCCUUCAGAGGGGGACCACAGUUGGAAACGACUGCUAAUACCGCAUACUGAAGGAGGGGCUUCGGUCUGAUUAGCUUGUUGGUGGGGUGAUGGCCUACCAAGGCAAUGAUCAGUAGCCGGUCUGAGAGGAUGAACGGCCACAUUGGGACUGGGGCACGGCCCAGACUCCUACGGGAGGCAGCGGUGGGGAAUCUUCCGCAAUGGGCGAAAGUCUGACGGAGCAACGCCGCGUGAGUGAUGACGGCCUUCGGGUUGUAAAGCUCUGUUAAUCGGGACGCGGUACCGGAAUAGAAAGCCACGGCUAACUACGUGCCAGCAGCCGCGGUAAUUC
rnacentral:rRNA from 1 species